GGAAGGUUCAUUUAUUUAUUUACUUAAAAUCCCUUAGGCUCUGGCCUCCUUCUCCACUGAUUGUAUUCCUUCAAGACAACAAGAACUAUUCUUCGGGGCAAGAAGGCUGCAUUCCUAAUCCGCAUCCUGCCUCAAGUCACUUCACUGCUGUCACCUGUGGUUUGACGUCAUCGAUUCACACGGAGUAUUCUGUAUUCAAUGAAAGCAAUGCCAAGCAAUGUUCCAGUUCCAAACACAAUGAGCAUGCUGCCUUUUUUAUUAACCAUUAUACGUGU